GUAAGUCUUGCCGUGCUAUUUGUGUUUGUUGCUGUAUCUCUCGUGGGCUUCCUCUUGGAGUAUCUCUUAGUUCUGAGGUAGGUAUCUCUCGUGGGUUUUAUUUUUUGGGCUUUCUCUGUUUGGGCUUGCCGAUUAUUCUGCUGUUUCUUGCCGUGACUAUCUGAAAUUUUCUGGUUGGACUUAUUGCUAUUUUUAAGUGGUUUUCAUCAUGUCUCUUGACAAUACUAUUGUUCGAUUUACUGGCAAAAAUUUUCUUACGUGGGCAUUUCAAUUUAAAAUGUUCUUGAAAGGAAAAGAAUUAUCAAAUCAUCUUGAUAGUUCUGUUCGAGUUCCCCACUGAUGAAAAGGAAUUUGCCCAAUGGGAGGUUUAGGAUGCUAAGGUGAUUUUUUGGCUAUUGGAAACGAUUGAGCCCCAUCUUGUCACCAAUCUUCGGUGUUUUACUACGGCUCAAGCUAUGUGGGAUUGCCUGCAUCGUAUUUAUCAUCAAGACUAUAGCGCUCGGAAAUUCCAAUUGGAGUUGGAAAUUAGCAAUUACACUCAAGUUUUUGAUGAAGCUUCGACCUGAAUUUGAGCCUGUCCGAGCCAGUUUAUUGAACCGUAAUCUGGUUCCGUCCUUGGAUAUUUGCUUGGGAGAUUUAUUGCGUGAAGAACAAUGGUUAUCCACUCAGAUGGGUAUGACUUCUGAGAAGGUAUUUUCUGAGGCUGUGAAUGUAGCCUAUGCAGCAUAAGGGAGAGGGAGGAACAAGUUGCAGUGUUUCAGUUGCAAGGAGUUUGGUCAUAUUGCUCGCAAUUGUCCGAAGAAAGUUUGUAACUACUGUAAGAAAGAGGGUCAUAUCAUCAAAGACUGUCGGGUGCGGCCUCAGAAUCGCCAAUCCCAAGCCUUUCACGAUGCUGUUCAGUCCUCAUCUUCUUUUGCGCCCCCCAUUGUAAACUUUGAUUCAUCCGUUCUCACACCUGCUAUGGUCCAACAGAUGAUUGUGUCUGCUUUUACGGCUUUAGGUCUGCAAGGAUUAGGUGUCGGGGAUGGUGCUCGCGAAGGGGCCUAAAAUGGAACGUCUAUUUCCUUUACAGUUUUCUAUUCCUAAUGUUGUUUCCUUUGCGUGUACGGCUACUGCCAAUAAUAAUGAAGUCUGGCAUAAGAAAUUAGGUCAUCCUAAUUCUGUUGUCUUGACUCAUCUUUUGAAACAUGAUUUUUUGGGCAAUAAAGAUUCAUUUUCUUCUUCUCCUGUAUCUUUUGAUUAUGCUACUUGUCGUCUUGGUAAAUGUAAAACUUUACCCUUUCCUGUGCAUGGUAGUCGUGCUUCUAAUUGUUUUGAGAUUGUACAUACUGAUGUUUGGGGUGUCAGUCCUAUUAUUUCUCAUGGUCAGUAUCGUUAUUUUGUGACGUUUAUCGAUAAUUAUAGUCGAUUUACUUGGAUCUAUUUUCUUUGUUCUAAAGCUGACUUGUUUUCUAUUUUUCAAAAAUUUGUUGCGCUUGUCGAGACACAGUUCAGUACUUGUAUCAAAAUCUUACGCUCUGACUCAGGGGGAAAUACAUGUCUCAUUCCUUUCAGACUUAUCUUCAGCAAAAAGGGAUUAUUUUCCAGCAUUUUUGUCCUUAUACCUCUCAACAAAAUGGAGUCGCUGAGCGUAAGAAUCGUCAUCUCUUAGAUGUCGUUCGUACCUUGUUGAUUGAUUCUUCUGUACCUUCUAAGUUCUGGGUAGAAGCUUUAUCUACUGCUGUUUAUUUGAUCAAUCGUCUGCCUACUGCCACUCUAAAUUAUGAUUUUCCCUAUUUUCGAUUAUUUGGCAUAUCUCCCGAGUAUCAAUCCUUUCAUACUUUUGGGUGUGUUUGUUUUGUUCAUCUGCCACCUGUUGAUCGUCACAAGCUUGCUGCCCAGUCUGUCACGUGUGCUUUUAUGGGAUAUAGCCCUACUCAAAAAGGAUUUGUUUGUUAUGAUGCUCAUGCAAACAAAUUCCGGAUCUCCCGGAAUGUGAUUUUUUUUGAAAAUCAAUAUUUUUUUCAGUCUCAGGUUAUUUCUGAUCCUCCUAUUACUCUUCUACCUGCUUUUGAUGAUGUGCCUUCUUCUAUUGAGCGAUUUAAACUAGGUGUAGUGUAUCAUAGACGUCCUCCUUCAACACCUCUUCCAUACAGUGAUCCGUCAUCUGAUUUUGCGGUUCCUAUACCUCGCCCUCUACCCAGGUUACACAUCCACCAGAUAGAUAUGGUUUUUCUCAUACCUCGUUUACUGCCACUCUCGACACUGUUUCUGUUCCUCAUGCUUAUACUCAUGUAGCCACCCAAGCAUGUUGGCAGCAGGCCAUGCAAGAAGAAAUCCAAGCUCUUCAAGACAAUCACACUUGGGAUCUUGUGACUUGUCCCUCUGGUGUGAAACCUAUUGGUUGUAAAUGGGUGUACUCAGUCAAGUUUCGAUCUGAUGGCUCACUGGAUAGAUAUAAGGCCUGUCUCGUGGCUCUUGGGAAUCGGCAGGAGUAUGGUAUUGAUUAUGAAGAGACAUUUGCACCUGUUGCCAAAAUGAUAAUUGUACGGACUAUCUUGGCACUUGCUGCGUCGCAGGUUUGAUCUCUUCGGCAGAUGGACGUGAAGAAUGCUUUUCUACGUGGGGAUUUGAAGGAAGAAAUCUAUAUGUCUCCACCUCCCGGCAUGUUUGCUACACCUUCUUCAGAGCAUCUCAAGGCCUCUUUUCACAUGAAAGAUCUCGGUCCCCUGCAGUACUUU